GACACGGGGGCCAAGCGGCAGCAGGACACCGACCAGCAGAGCGUUCUCUGGAGGCCGGAUGAGCUAAUUCCCACGGAUGACUAGCAGACGGUGCCACCGGGCUGGUUUUAGGAGCUCUUAGCGAAGCAAGUCUGGCCCCUUGGAUUGCAUUACAAUCUUCACAUCACGCUAUGGCUUCAAUGCACGGGGCACUGCUUUACCAUCUAUCACUGCAACGUCAUCACACAGUGACAGUGCAAAGCCGGAAACAAGAUUUCAGGAUGGAUGGAAGCCCAUCCAAUCCCACCUUCCCUGCAGCCAGAGUGAGGGGAGCACACCUUUCCCUCUUUAAAGCACCAGUUCCCCUGAAACGAAGACUAAAACACCGAGACUAUAUACUGAGGCUCCUUUUUAGAGCAACAGGCCAUCUGCGGAGCUUUCCAUGUUUGGGUUACAGUGUGAUAGACUACCAAGGGAGGCACAUGGACACAUUCCUUGAAGAUGCCGUCUUCAAGGGAUCCCCCAACAAGAGAAGACUUUUUCUACCAGGACUUUGGCUGUGGCCUUUGCAGUAUUGGUCUUCAAAGGAAAGGUCUCCACCCAUUUUGAGAAAGGAUCGACAACCACUAACAGGGACUCAGACCCUAUGUCACCAGCACUCCCAGCUAUCUCCGUGACACCACUGAUUUCCUGAGAAAACUACAAUGCAUUGAUGACCUUCCAGAAAACACUAUCCUAGCCAACAUGGAUGUAGAGGCUUUCUACACAAACAUCCCACACGCAGAUGGAAUACAAGCUGUCAGGAACAGUAUCCCUGA